rnacentral:rRNA from 1 species
AGCGAACGCUGGCGGCAGGCUUAAUACAUGCAAGUCGAGCGCCUGUCGCAAUACAGGAGCGGCAGACGGGAGAGUAACACGUGGGAACGUGCCCUUUGGUUCGGAACAAAACAGGGAAACUUGUGCUAAUACCGGAUAAGCCCUUACGGGGAAAGAUUUAUCGGCAAAGGAUCGGCGCGCGUCUGAUUAGCUAGUUGGGGGGGUAAUGGCCCACCAAGGCGACGAUCAGUAGCUGGUCUGAGAGGAUGAUCAGCCUCAUUGGGACUGAGACACGGCCCAAACUCCUGCGGGAGGCAGCAGUAGGGAAUAUGAGACAAUGGGGGCAACCCUGAUCCAUCCAUGCCGCGUGAGUGAUGAAUGCCUUAGGGUUGUAAAGCUCUUUCGGCAGGGAAGAUAAUGACGGUACCCGCAUAAGAAGCCCCGGCUAACUUCGUGCCAGCAGCCGCCGUAAUAC